rnacentral:rRNA from 1 species
UACGAAGGGGGCUAGCGUUGCUCGGAAUCACUGGGCGUAAAGCGCACGUAGGCGGCUUUCUAAGUCAGGGGUGAAAUCCUGGAGCUCAACUCCAGAACUGCCUUUGAUACUGGAGAGCUUGAGUCCGGGGAGAGGUGAGUGGAACUCCGAGUGUAGAGGUGAAAUUCGUAGAUAUUCGGAAGAACACCAGUGGCGAAGGCGGCUCACUGGCCCGGUACUGACGCUGAGGUGCGAAAGCGUGGGGAGCAAACAGG